GCGCGAAAACUUUACAAUGCUGGCAACAGCGAUAAGGGAACCUCGAGUGCCAGGUUACAAAUCUGGCUGUCGAGAUGUCUAAAAAGCAUUUCAUAGCAAGGGCCGGGCAAGACCGGUGCCAGCCGCCGCGGUAACACCGGCGGCUCGAGUGGUAACCGUUAUUAUUGGGUCUAAAGGGUCUGUAGCCGGCCGGAUAAGUCUCUUGAGAAAUCUGGCAGCUUAACUGUCAGGCUUUCAGGAGAUACUGUCUGGCUCAAGGCCGGGAGAGGUGAGAGGUACUUCAGGGGUAGGGGUGAAAUCUUGUAAUCCUUGAAGGACACCAGUGGCGAAGGCGUCUCACCAGAACGGACCUGACGGCAAGGGACGAAAGCUAGGGGCACGAACCG
rnacentral:rRNA from 1 species